AUGGGUAUCGCCAAGCGGUAAGGCACCGGUUUUUGAUACCGGCAUUCCCUGGUUCGAAUCCAGGUACCCCAGCCA
rnacentral:tRNA from 1 species